GCCCCAAGAUAACAUAGCUCAGUCAGUAGAGCAUGAGACUCUUAAUCUCAGGGUUGUGGAUUCCAGCUCCACAUAGGGCA